CAGGAUGUUAUAAACAGAGAGAGAUAGGUUGUCCCUCACAUCACAGAUGCUAUCCAAGACUGGAUUAAGUGUGUAGCACAUAUACCAGUUGAUGGAAAGUCAGGCCCUGCUGAGCACCAGUAUUGGUCAUUUGGUCUUGGCCUUAAUUUUUGGGGUAGCCUUGAUUGUUGGAAUAUAUGUCAUCUAGAACUUGAUACGGCUUGCAUUAGUGACUGAGUUUUGUUCACAUUUCGGUUCAUACAGGUAGGACUGUGGAGUAUGAUUCUACUGCUCGGCUGAUUAAG